UAAAAGGGCAGUAGUUCCUGCAAUAUAUUCCUAUAUUAAAGGUAGAACUAACAGCUUCCUUUCUAAGCAGAAAUGUUGUAUCUUGUAAUAACAACGUUUCUUGUCAGUUUUUAUUUAUGGAACAGUGCUGUUUAAAGUACUAGCCACACUUUUGAAAAAUAAACUAAAAUACUGAAGUAUUUUAUAAAAUGCCUUCAUUUUCCCUAAAGAGAUGCAAAAUGGAAUGAAAAUCUCCCUGAGAGCUGUCUAGAGAUGAUGGUCACAAAAAUAAAGGAAGCUGAAGAAACCUCCUUUGCCAGCUUCUCUCUUCAGAUUUUUGAUCUACCUGAUGGAUGUUCCAACAGUAUCUGUUUGUGGACAGUUAACAUUUUUUUUCUGUUAAAAGAAUAGUAGAGACGGUGUAGAAAAAAAUGAGUAAUGAAAAGUGUUAUAGGUUGAUGAUGUGUUUGGAGAAUUGUAUGCAAGAACUUACUAUUGACAGAGAAAAACAAAACCAAACCAAAUUGGAAGCCAAGUGUCUGAGAUGAUUCUGGGUUAGGACAGGAGCAGCCUGGCUUGGUCUCCAGGUUUUUCUGGUAGCCUCAGUGGUGACAGCUUUCAGUGUGGUCAGCCUCAGGAUCACGUGAGUCGUUAUUAUGUUUUUUUCCUUAACCCCAGAAACCAUGCCGUAAGUCAAAAUUUAGACAGUUUAGCUGUUUUCAUUUUGCUUUCAAUCUAGUCGUUUUCUGUUUUUAAUUCUGUGCCUGGAAAAACUUGAAAAAGGCCAUGAGUCAUGACAACUGUUUCCUUUUCCUCCAAAUAGAAGCCUUAGCAGCUGAGCGGUUUUCAGUGGGGACCCUUUAAGGGAACGUUUGGGAGAAAUACGUAUCCGGGGGUUCUCCCAAAGUGUGGUACCCAGACCAGCAGUGGCAGCAUCCCCUGGAAAUCUGUUAGAAGUGCCCACUGUCAGGCACCACUCCAGAUGUGAUUGAAUCAGAGGCUCUGGGGAAGGAAGUCUGUGUUUUAACCAGACAUCUAGAUGGUUCUGAGCAACACUCAAGUCCGAGAACCACUGUGUUAGUGAAUUGUUAGUAGUUAUGGCUAUUGAGAGUGUGAAAAAUAUAGUGGUUGGAAGGUGGGCAUGUUUAUGAGUCUUUGCUUGUGAGGAGAUGAAUCAUAGAGAGAAAAGAACGCUUUAACUUUUGGAAUUCAAAAAAGAAAAAGAAAGCCUGGAAUGUAAUUAGCAGGACUAAUUGCUUGCAUGAAACUUUGCUCUCUCAGAGAACAGCGAUCCAGAUGACUAGGUUACUGUGAAAUAUAGUGGCAUGGUUUUGAAGUUCUAGAAGAAUCUCUCUAGUGAGAAAAGGCAUGCCUUUCCAUAUUAGGACAUAAAUUCAACUCAGUUUGGUAGAAUCCUAUAAGAUUCUUGUAUCCCAGUGACUUGGCCAGCUCCUUUACUUCUUGAGGCCCUACUUUCUACAUCUGAAAACCAUAUGCUUCAUUCGUUGCCAUGAAUUAUCUCAUUGGAAUGAAGUGAGGGAUUCAUUAUAUGGAAGAGGAUUUGUGAGGCAUCUUGAUUACUGAAAAAUGCAAACCAUAAGGAUCAAGAGUGAUUCAUAUAAAUCUUGAUGCAACUAUGAGUUGAUACGUCAACUUCCCCUUGAUAUGUGCUCCCCCUUUUAAUUAUUUAUUUAUUUUGGCUGCACCGGGUCUUAGUUGCCGUGUACAGGAUCUAGUUCCCCGAUCAGGGAUCGAACCCAGGCCCCCUGCAUUGUGAGCUCGAGUCUUCCCCACUGGACCACGAGGGAGGUCCCUGUUCUGUGCUCCCUUUAGUCUUGACUCUCAUGUAUUCAUUUUUGGUGUUAAACAAAUCACAGUUUUUAAAAGCUUUAAUCUUCAUUUCCUCAUGGAAAACUUAGUAUUCAUGAUACCUACUCCCAGGAUUGUUGUGAGAAGAAAAUUAGAUUAAAAUAGGAAAAGGCAGUUUUAAAGCUGAAACAUUACAAAUUUUAGGUAUUGUUGUUUUGAUUGUAGUUAUUUCAUGUCCAGAUUGAGAAAGCUUUGUGAUUGUUGACAUAAUGAUAUCAUCCAGGAGUUUGGAAUAAGUGUGUACAUCAGCGGAUUUUAUGAUUACAAAAAAUAGCUAUGUUUACUUUUCUACUAAUUCUCCUUCAGUGGAAUGUUCCCAUUUUCUCAUGAAGUGGGGGGAGAUCCACAUAUGUUUAUUAAAGAAAGCAAGCCUCGUAUUUUUUAUCCUUUGAACCGAGAGGCUACAUGUUAUUCAUUGUUUUCGAGUCAGGCUACCUGGGUAAAUUCCCAAUCCUCUACCUACUUGCAACCAUGGAUAAACCUCAGUUUCCUCAUAUGUAAAAUAGGGGUGGUAAUAAUACAGAUUCGUAUGAAGAUGAAAUGGGAAAUGUAUGUAUAGAAUACAUAGCAGAGUGCCUGGCGCAGAGUAAGCAUUCAGUAAUGUGGGCUGUUGCUGUGACUAUCAUUAUUAAACUGCAGCAUGAAGAAGAGGCAAAAAGGUUGUGUGUGAAAGUCAAGGGCAGGAGGGAAUAAAAAGACAAGGGGGACAGCUUUGAAAAUGGUCUGAUCAUCCUGCAAAUGACAAUCCAAGCAAUUCCCACGACUUUUGAAAAUCAAAGACUUCCCUGUUGCUUCCAAUGAGAAAAUGAACCAUAGUCAUUUGUAAUGUCCAUGUUCCUGUAACAAUCAAAAUCACAGUCUUGCUUGAAAGUUACAUGUCUUCCCUUUCCCAGCAUGAGCACGCAGAAGGCAAAGAGCUGUAGGAAAUGGGAGUCCUCGCCUCUCUCUCUCUCUCUCUCUCCCUCUCCCUCCUUCCCUUUCCCUCUCCUUCUCCCCCCACCCCUCUCUCUCUGAAGUGCUCCUACUUCUUCUCUAUCUUGGUAACUGAAGUUUCUUGCUGCUCUAGGGUUAGAGCUCAUAGCAGAGAAAAGGUUGGGGAGAUAAGAAAGUUCUUACUUGACAAGGACUGUUGAUGAUCCAGUACUUAAAACUGGCCCUCUCCAUUUGGUCUGUGUUUAAAACUGGCCCUUCUUCUAGCAGGUGCUUCUUUGUUUCCCAGAGCUCCCUUGACCUGCAGAAGUGCAUUUGUAUUUGGUCAUCCACAGUCUCAAGGAGUCAUUCUGAAGUACACCCCUUGCUGCUUUUUGCUCUGAUACCUACUUUCCAGUGGAUGAUCCUGAACAGGAUCUAAGACAGCUAGCGCUAUCUUGCAUAGAUCAGAUCUGGUCCAAGGGAAAAAGUUUACCUUCAAAAGCUCAGAGGGUAAUGAGGAUACAAUUUUCAAUCCCUGGGUAGCCCUUUGAAGCUCUUUGCCUUACACUUGCGGUAAGCAAACAACCCCAUAGAUCUUCUGGUCAGAUUCACACAGCAUGCUGGCAACUUGCUCCCAAAACCUUCAUCUUCAAAGAUCUCCAACUCUUUUUGCCUCUGACAUGGAUAAAUGGUUAUAAGAGUUACAUAACCUUCCUGGCAUGUUUCCUUUGAAAAUGUUGCUUUAUACCGUUGUAUUUCCCUUUGGAAUGUGGUGUAUAGUGUUCAGUACUUGAGUCAAAACUUGCACUUUAAUUCAAGGUAAAAGGGGGAGAGGACCGCUUUGGGGAUGCUUUGAUUUCACAGACCAUCACCCCAAAGUUGGUGGUGCUGCAGAGGAAAAGAUGGUUUACACAUGCAGGUGUUAUUGGGAGCCUCAUGAAUGCCCACCCUAAUCACAAAGUAAAGAUGGAAACGUAUAACUUUUUAAAAUGUGAAAACACACAUCAAUAAAUGUGUACAGAUAUAUACAACUCUGAGCUCAUGCCAGAAAUGUGUGUGACUGCCUUGUGAUAGUUCUGGAGCGGGUGAUGUGCUCCAAAGAGAUGAAAAUACCUGGAAAGAUUUUGUGGACCACUCAACUCUGAGCCAACUUGAGGAUAUGGAGGCAAGAGUCCAAAAGGAAAAGAGAGAGAGAGAGAGAGAGAGAGAUGGAUUCUUCUAAAUUUUGUGCAACACCCAUGUAAAUAGGAGCUAGCAUUUAAACACAUAGCAUGGUGCACCAAGGUUGGUGAAAAGACGGUGUACCGGUAGGUCUGAAAAUGGGGGAAGUGUGUAAUAAGUGCUACAUUAGAUGAAGCAAGGUUUAAAAGGGUGUUACUGAAUUGGAAGCAUCAAAAUGGACUUAUGACUUUAAAAAGCCCCCCUCUAAAGCUGAAAGAGUAGAAGCGGUCCCUGGUAUCACACUACCUACAGCCACAAGGUAUGUGGGAAAAUCUAAUAUGUCCUCUAGGCGCUGGGUUUUGAUGUCUUCUGCUCUUCUCACGGAAAGGAACUCAGAGGAUAACUGGUACCAGAUCUUGGGAAAAUAUUGAAAGGAGCUAAGAAUGGGAAGGCAUAGCUAAGAAAUGUUUGCCAAAGAAGAGGAAUUGUGAUACUUCCUACCAGAUGUGAGAAUGUAUUAUGAAGCUUGAGUAAUUAAAAGUGUGGUUCCCCAGCAGACUUUUCCAAGAAGGGAUACGCCACCCCAAUGCAGAUCACACUAAAUUAGAACAUAGUGUGUAGAACCGGAAGUAUUAAAAACCAAUGUGAAAGGGGAAACUAGAUUUUUAGAGGAAAGUUGGGUUAAAAACCUCACCUCGCAUACUAUAUCAAAAUACAUUUUAAAGCUGAAACAUAAGGGAAAGAAGAACAUGGAGGUGAAUUUAGCUUAUUUUUUUCUAAGUAAAGGACUCUCUAAGCCUAAAAAGAUACAGGGUAAGUCACAAAGGAAAAAUAUGUGUAUUUGGCUGCAGAAAAUUAAGUACUUUUGUGUCAUAAGAUAUUAUCAACCAAAUUAAAUGGAAAAUGUGGAACUGGGAAGUGUUUUUGCAAUACAUGUGGCUGAUAGCUUUAGAACUAACAACAAAAAUCACAUUUGUGAUAAUUCAAUAAGAAACACAUAUUAACCCAGUAGAAAAAGGACAAAUGUCACAAAUAAUUGACAAAAGAAAAAAUUACAGGUGACUAAUAAACAUAUACUUAACCCUAAACGUAUAAAAAUUUAGGUUUUUAUGUUAAUCAAAAAAAGGGAAAAUAAAAAGGCCCUACUCAUUUGUGACCUACGAGAUUGACAAAGGUUACAAAUGGCAACACUUCGUAAGGAUACAGCAGGAGAGCAUUCCAGCCACUGCUGAUGGGAAUAAGGGCUCUGCAGUCUUUUUUGAAGAUGACUUUUGACCAUCUGCAUAAAGGACUUAGGUCAUAAUUAUAAACUUUUUACCCAGUAACCCCAUAUUAGACUCGAUCUGGUAAACAUAAUAAGAGAAUAUUUGAAUAUUAAUAUGCAAGAAUAUACAUUACACUCACUAUUGAUGUGAAAAACUAAAACCUCUUAAGUGUUCAAUACUGAGAGAACAGAAAAAUAAAUUAUUGUUUAUGUACUUAUGUAUUGUUAAGGCAAGAAAGAUGUUCAGUAAAGUGUUAAAACUGGUUGUGUUUUAGGGGUAAGGAUGGAAUCAAGUUUUAUAGAAGGAUGUAUCUUUUUUCCUUUUUAUACUUUUGUAAUUUGUUUUACCUCUCAAAAUUAGUGUGUAUUAUUUCUAAAAUUUCUAAAAUUCAUAAAAAAUGUAUAUCUUUUUAUAUAUAUAAUGAAGUGCAGAAUUGGUAAUGAUAAAACGUUAGGUGAAAAAAAUCAGGGUAUAAAAUACAUAUGCGAGGGGCUUCCCUGGUGGUGCGGUGGUUAAGAAUCUGCCUGCCAAUGCAGGGCACACGGGUUCGAGCCCUGGUCUGGGAAGAUCCCACAUGCCGCGGAGCAACUAAGCCCGUGCGCCACAACUACUGAGCCCGCGUGCUACAAUUACUGAAGCCUGUGCGCCUAGAGCCCAUGCUCUGCAACACGAGAAACCACCACAAUGAGAAGCCCUCGCACCGCAACAAAGAGUAGCCCCUGCUCGCCUCAACUAGAGAAAGCACGUGUGCAGCAAUGAAGACCUAAUGUAGCCAAAAUAAAUAAAUAAAUUUUAAAAAUACAUAUGCAAUAAAAUUAUGAUUUUGGUAAAAUAUAAUUUGUGCAAAGACUAGCAGGAUAAACAUCAAAACAUCAGCCAUAGUUCUUUCCUUCUUUUUAUGUAUAUUUGCCUAUUUUCCCAAUUAUGCUUUAAAUAUUUUAUUUUAUUUAUUUAUUUAUUUUUGGCUGCGUUGGGUCUUCAUUGCUGCACGCGGCCUCUCUCUAGUUGGGGCGAGCAGGGGCUACUCUUCGUUGUGGUGCCCGUGCUUCUCAUUGCAGUGGCUUCUCUUGUUGUGGAGCACGCGCUCUAGGCAUGUGGGCUUCAGUAGUUGUGGCACAUGGGCUCAGUAGUUGGGCUCGUGGGCUCUAGAGCACAGGCUUAGUAGUUGUGGCGCACGGGCUUAGUUGCUCCGCGCCAUGUGGGAUCUUCCCAGACCUGGGCUCAAACCCGUGUCCCCUGCAUUGGCAGGCGGAUUCUUAACCUCUGUGCCACCAGGGAAGUCCCUCUCUGGGUAUUUCUAAUGUAUGUUUAUCAGGUCUCUUUCACUUUUGGUGAUAAACAAAAAUUUAUUUUCCAAAUAAUAAUGUCUCAUCUCUAGGGAACUAGUAUUUUGAUGAAACUGCAAUUUGAAGCUUUUGGAUUUUAAAGCUGUAAACUCUACAAGGAUAUAUAAAGACUGCUCUUUGUUGCAUUCUUUUCCCACCCUAUUCUAGGAUUUAAACCUAAAAUGAAUGGAGUAAAAAAAAGAUAUGACAUGUAGAUUCCAGACAUUCUUUCCUAACUAGAAUGAUUUUUAACUGCUAAUGUGAAUUUUUCCUCAAAAUAGGCCAACUCUCUUAUUUAUUACUUGAUGCCUUCCAGACUUUUUUUUUUAAAUACUCUUACUAUCGUCUAAUUUCUCUUCCUUUAAAAGUGUGCUUCUGUGAUUUGUAAAUUAAUCUGUUAACCCAGAGAAUAUUGUUUUAUGUGAUACUGAGCAAGUCAUGUGAAGUUUUCUCCUUUUUAUUCUUUGUAAUAAAGCAGAAUAUUAAAAAAGAAAAUCUGGGGCUUCCCUGGUGGCGCAGCGGUUGGGAGUCCGCCUGCCGAUGCAGGGGACGCGGGUUCGUGCCCCGGUCCGGGAAGAUCCCACAUGCUGCGGAGCGGCUGGGCCUGUGAACCAUGGCCGCUGAGCCUGCGCUUCCGGAGCCUGUGCUCUGCAACGGGAGAGGCCACAGCAGUGGGAGGCCCGCGAACCGCCAAAAAAAAAAAAAAAAAAAAGAAAAUCUGAUAGGUCUAAAAUAGAUUAGUAAGCAUUUUAAACAUUCAUAAAGUUCUUUGAAACUUAUAAGCCUAUAUUAUCAUGUAUUAUUGAUGUUAUCCUAUUAUUAAAACAUACUUUUGCCAUCUACUGAAAUAUAGUCUAUUUCAGUCAUUCCUAUUCUCUGAAUGACUAAACAUAGAACAAAUCCCUUUGGGACUUGUACUGUAUUUUAACUUAGCAGUAAUUACCUUAAAUGGAAAUGAAACACUAAUAGUCUUGAUCUGCAGGAAUCAGUUUAACUCUAGAAUGCAAGGGUUAAUGGCCUCUGGUGCAUCCCAAGUGUGAAUAGAAAGUUUGGGGGAUAAGUUGGGCUUGUGUUGUAUAAUAUUUAUGGACGUGACUUUGAAAGCUAGUAAAGUCAAUUUUAACCACUUUAAAUAAAUACGAAGUUGAUUUUUUCCCUUAUACAGUGAAUAAAUGUAGUAAGUGCAGUAUUAUGGGACUGUUACAUUUCAUUUAUUUUUAUCACUAUUGGAUCAUAUGAGAAUGAUUCUAAGUUCUGUCAUGCAUCUAAACCACUACCUAACUAGCAAGGGUAAAAUGAAAAAUCCUUGUAUAUGAUUCUUCUCUGGCUUUUAGUUUGUCAGUAUUGAUAAUUGUAGCAACUUUUGAAAAAAAGACUAUGAAGAAUAAUAAGGGCUUUUAUGGAGUGUGUGUGUGCAUGCAGGUGUGCCUGUGUAUGUCUUUCCCCUUUUCCUCUUCCUGAUACUUCUGGUUUGUGUGAUUUGGUUGUGCCUCAGACAGUUCUAGAUAUUCAGGUAAAUUACUAGGGAAAAGGAGCAAAGUAAUAACAGCUCUCAAAGGCAUUACAUUUUCAUCUCCUCUAUUCACUGAAGGCUGUAAUAGAAAACAAUGAAGACAUCUUGUUGGAUAAUAGGCAAACUAGUCUCCUGGUAAUAUAACUUUUUUGAAAACACACUAGGAAAAUAAUUCUCUCUAUGUAAUUGUUAGAAAAGAAUGGCUUAUACCUCACAUUAUAAUUUGUAGUUCAGCUGUUAACUGAACAAAGCUCAAACAGAACAAAGUGGAAGGAAAUCAGUGUCUAUUGUUCUAGGCAUAUUACUGAGUUUCUCUCUCUCUCUCUUUAUAUAUAUACAUAUAUAUAUACACUCACAUAUACAGAUAUGUAUAUAUGUACAAAUUAAUAAUCGACUGGAUACAGACGACUACCUUGCUAGCAAAUAUUACCCUUCUUUCAUAGAUAAAGUGAGUAUUAGAGUCAGGAUUCAUAUUAACCAAUUUAUUUA